rnacentral:rRNA from 1 species
CCUACGGGGGGCAGCAGUGGGGGAUAUUGCACAAUGGGGGGAACCCUGAUGCAGCGACGCCGCGUGGGUGAAGAAGCGCCUCGGCGCGUAAAGCCCUUUCAGCAGGGAAGAAAUUGACGGUACCUGAAGAAGAAGCCCCGGCUAACUACGUGCCAGCAUCCGCGGGAAUGCGUAGGGGGUAAGCGGUAUCCGGAUUGUCUGGGUGUAAAGGGGGCGCAGGCGGGGAUGCAAGCCAGGCGUGAAAGCGCGGGGCCCAAACCCGGGACUGCGUUUGGAACGGCGUGGCUGGAGUGCAGGAGGGGCAGGUGGAAUGCGAGGUGUAGGAGUGAAAUCCGUAGAUAUCUGGAGGAACAUCAGUGGCGAAGGCGACUAUCUGGCACAUAACUGACGCUGAGGAGCGAAAGCGUGGGUAGCAAACAGGAUUAGAUACCCCAGUAGUC